rnacentral:rRNA from 1 species
UAGAUACCCUGGUAGUCCGCACAGUAAACGAUGUACACUAGGUGUUGGGGUAAGACUCAGUGCCGGAGCAAACGCAAUAAGUGUACCGCCUGGGGAGUAUGCCCGCAAGGGUGAAACUCAAAGGAAUUGACGGGGGCCCACACAAGCGGUGGAGCAUGUGGUUUAAUUCGAUGAUACGCGAGGAACCUUACCUGGGUUUGACAUCAAGAGGAAUACUGUAGAGAUAUGGUAGCGUGUUUACACGUCUCUU